rnacentral:rRNA from 1 species
UACGUAGGGGGCGAGCGUUGCCCGGAUUCACUGGGCGUAAAGCGGGUGUAGGCGGUUCUUUAAGUCGGAUGUGAAAUCCUGCGGCUCAACCGCGGAACUGCCUCCGAUACUGGGGAACUUGAGGACGGUAGAGGUCGGUGGAAUUCCAGGUGUACCGGUGAAAUGGGCAGAUAUCUGGAGGAACACCAGUGGCGAAGGCGGCCGACUGGGCCGAUCCUGACGCUGAGACCCGAAAGCCAGGGUAGCGAACCGG